rnacentral:rRNA from 1 species
GCACAAGCGGAGGAACAUGUGUUUAAUUCGAUGAUACGCGAGGAACCUUACCCGGGCUUGAAUUGCAGGAGAACGAUCCAGAGAUGGUGAGGUCCUUCGGGACUCCUGUGAAGGUGCUGCAUGGUUGUCGUCAGCUCGUGCCGUGAGGUGUCGGCUUAAGUGCCAUAACGAGCGCAACCCCUUUCCUCAGUUGCCAUCAGGUAGAGCUGGGCACUCUGGGGACACUGCCACCGCAAGGUGUGAGGAAGGUGGGGAUGACGUCAAAUCAGCACGGCCCUUACGUCCGGGGCUACACACGUGUUACAAUGGGGGGUACAGAGAGCCGGUGGCGCGCAAGCUCCAUCCAAUCCUUAAAGCCCUCCUCAGUUCGGACUGGGGUCUGCAACCCGACCCCACGAAGCUGGAUUCGCUAGUAAUCGCGCAUCAGCCAUGGCGCGGUGAAUACGUUCCCGGGCCUUGUACACACCGCCCGUCAAGCCAUGAAAGCCGGGGGUGCCUGAAGUCCGUGACCGGAAGGAUCGGCCUAGGGCAAAACUGGUGAUUGGGGCU